AUUGAACGCUGGCGGCAGGCCUAACACAUGCAAGUCGAACGAGUGGCGGACGGGUGAGUAAUGUCUUGGAAACUGCCUGAUGGAGGGGGAUAACUACUGGAAACGGUAGCUAAUACCGCAUACCAUGGGAUGUGCCCACCUGGGAUGAGCUAGUAGGUGAGGUAAAGGCUCACCUAGGCGACGAUCCCUAGCUGGGAUGAGAGGAUGACCAGCCACACUGGAACUGAGACACGGUCCAGACUCCUACGGGAGGCAGCAGUGGGGAAUAUUGCACAAUGGGCGAAAGCCUGAUGCAGCCAUGCCGCGUGUGUGAAGAAGGCCUUCGGGUUGUAAAGCACUUUCAGCGAGGAGGCGUUACUCGCAGAAGAAGCACCGGCUAACUCCGUGCCAGCAGCCGCGGUAAUAC
rnacentral:rRNA from 1 species